rnacentral:rRNA from 1 species
UACGUAGGGGGCGAGCGUUACCCGGAUUCACUGGGCGUAAAGGGGGCGUAGGUGGCCGUGUAAGUCCGGUGUGAAAAGCCACGGCUCAACCGUGGACCUGCGCUGGAAACUAUAUGGCUUGAGGACGGUAGAGGGAGACGGAACUGCUGGUGUAGCAGUGAAAUGCGUAGAUAUCAGCAGGAACGCCGGUGGAGAAGUCGGUCUCCUGGGCCGUUCCUGACGCUGAGGCCCGAAAGCUAGGGGAGCAAACCGG